GCGGCAGGCUAACACAUGCAAGUCGAGCGGUAGCACAGAGAGCUUGCUCUCGGGUGACGAGCGGCGGACGGGUGAGUAAUGUCUGGGAAACUGCCUGAUGAGGGGGAUAACUACUGGAAACGGUAGCUAAUACCGCAUAACGUCGCAAGACCAAAGUGGGGGACCUUCGGGCCUCAUGCCAUCAGAUGUGCCCAGAUGGGAUUAGCUAGUAGGUGAGGUAAUGGCUCACCUAGGCGACGAUCCCUAGCUGGUCUGAGAGGAUGACCAGCCACACUGGAACUGAGACACGGUCCAGACUCCUACGGGAGGCAGCAGUGGGGAAUAUUGCACAAUGGGCGCAAGCCUGAUGCAGCCAUGCCGCGUGUAUGAAGAAGGCCUUCGGGUUGUAAAGUACUUUCAGCGAGGAGGAGGGCGAUAAGGUUAAUAACCUUGUCGAUUGACGUUACUCGCAGAAGAAGCACCGGCUAACUCCGUG
rnacentral:rRNA from 1 species